rnacentral:rRNA from 1 species
GACAGAGGGUGCAAACGUUGUUCGGAAUCACUGGGCGUAAAGCGCGUGUAGGCGGCAAUGCAAGUCGGAUGUGAAAUCCCGCGGCUCAACCGUGGAAGUGCACCCGAAACUGCAUAGCUAGAGUGUCGGGGAGGAAGGUGGAAUGCUUGGUGUAGAGGUGAAAUUCGUAGAUAUCAAGCGGAACACCGGUGGCGAAGGCGGCCUUCUGGACGACGACUGACGCUGAGACGCGAAAGCGUGGGUAGCAAACAGG